AUUGAACGCUGGCGGAAUGCUUUACACAUGCAAGUCGAACGGCAGCACGGGGGCAACCCUGGUGGCGAGUGGCGAACGGGUGAGUAAUACAUCGGAACGUGCCCGGUCGUGGGGGAUAACGUAGCGAAAGUUACGCUAAUACCGCAUACGAUCUGAGGAUGAAAGCGGGGAACCUCGGGGCCUCGCCCGAUCGGGGGGCCCGAUGUCAGAUUAGGUAGUUGGUGGGGUAAAGGCCUACCAAGCCGACGAUCUGUAGCUGGUCUGAGAGGACGACCAGCCACACUGGGACUGAGACACGGCCCAGACUCCUACGGGAGGCAGCAGUGGGGAAUUUUGGACAAUGGGCGCAAGCCUGAUCCAGCCAUUCCGCGUGCAGGACGAAGGCCUUCGGGUUGUAAACUGCUUUUGUAUGGAACGAAAAGGCUCUGGCUAAUACCUGGGGCUCAUGACGGUACCGUAAGAAUAAGCACCGGCUAACUACGUG
rnacentral:rRNA from 1 species